rnacentral:lncRNA from 1 species
CUUUUGGGCCAUGGUACACCGUGGGCUCUGCAGGCCAGGGGCCCUGGUGGAGCCUGGUACGUCGGGGCAGGGAAGCCCUGGGCUGGGGUGCAGCUUUGGGAGCAAAGCAGGAGGAUCAAGGCAUCUCAAGGGCAUGCCUCAGGCUGUUGUCCUCUGCGGUGGCUGCCACAGGCUCUAUGUUGACCUGGAAAGAUCCAAGGCGCAUGGCCACCUGGAGCUGAAGGCAGGACAUGUCCGUCUGUCCUUGGACUCCUGCUUGCAAUAGCUUUGUGCCCACUGUCCAGGAGGCUGCAUGGAGCUGCCAGAAGCCAGAUGUCCUAAUAUGUCUGCUUUCCAAUGUCACCUGCCGGUCACUGCCAGGUAAACGCCUUCUGCCAGUCCAUCUACACUGCCCAGAGCAAUCCGUCGCAACCACCCUGGGGCAUUCCAGAAUACACGUGUCCCCAGCAGUCACCCCUCACUGUUCUAGUCUGACCAGGAUCAAGCUCUGCCUUCUCAUGAAGUGUGUCAGCCAUCAAGGAUCCCCAGGGCGCUGGCCUGCUGUGCUCAGUCCCCUCUCCUUGGGCUUCGUGCCAUGCCGGCUCAUCUUUUCCAUUUGCUCACUAGUAAGAAUGGCAGUUCCUGUGUCCCCUGGGCUUAGCACAGCCAGUGCCCCCUUGUGGAGACGGACGUCCACUGAGCUCCCAGACUCAGAAGCUUGGCAUCUCC